UUAGAGUUUGAUCCUGGCUCAGGAUGAACGCUAGCGGCAGGCUUAACACAUGCAAGUCGAGGGAGAAUCGGAGUAGCAAUACAAAGAGGAAACCGGCGGAAGGGUGCGUAACGCGUGAGCAACUUGCCCGUAUCAGGGAGAUAACCGGUGGAAACGCCGACUAAUAUCCCAUAACAACAGAGAGCGCAUGCUUUUUGUUUGAAAGAAUUUCGGAUACGGAUGGGCUCGCGUGACAUUAGCUAGUUGGAGUGGUAACGGCACACCAAGACUACGAUAUCUAGGGGUUCUGAGAGGAAGGUCCCCCACAUUGGAACUGAGACACGGUCCAAACUCCUACGGGAGGCAGCAGUGAGGAAUAUUGGUCAAUGGACGGAAGUCUGAACCAGCCAUGCCGCGUGCAGGAUUAAGGCCCUAUGGGUCGUAAACUGCUUUUGUAUGAGAGCAAUAAGGUCCACGUGUGGAUCGAUGAGAGUAUCAUACGAAUAAGCAUCGGCUAACUCCGUGCCAGCAGCCGCGGUAAUACGGAGGAUGCGAGCGUUAUCCGGAUCUAUUGGGUUUAAAGGGUGCGUAGGCGGAAUGCCAAGUCAGCGGUGAAACGCACGUGCUUAACACGUGACCUGCCGUUGAAACUGGUGAUCUGGAAUACGGAUGCUGUGGGAGGAAUGUGUGGUGUAGCGGUGAAAUGCAUAGAUAUCACACAGAACACCGAUUGCGAAGGCAUCUCACAAAUCCGUUAUUGACGCUGAGGCACGAAAGUGUGGGGAUCAAACAGGAUUAGAUACCCUGGUAGUCCACACUGUAAACGAUGAUGACUCGCUGUCGGCGAUAUACAGUCGGUGGCCAAGCGAAAGCGAUAAGUCAUCCACCUGGGGAGUACGACCGCAAGGUUGAAACUCAAAGGAAUUGACGGGGGCCCGCACAAGCGGAGGAACAUGUGGUUUAAUUCGAUGAUACGCGAGGAACCUUACCCGGGCUCGAACGGUGCAGGAAGAGAACUAGAGAUAGUGACGUCCUUCGGGACCUGCAUCGAGGUGCUGCAUGGUUGUCGUCAGCUCGUGCCGUGAGGUGUCGGCUUAAGUGCCAUAACGAGCGCAACCCUUGUCGUCAGUUACCAGCAAGUAAGGUUGGGGACUCUGGCGAGACUGCCACCGUAAGGUGAGAGGAAGGGGGGGAUGACGUCAAAUCAGCACGGCCCUUACGUCCGGGGCGACACACGUGUUACAAUGGUGGGUACAGAGGGCAGCUAUCCGGCGACGGAGUGCAAAUCUCGAAAACCCAUCUCAGUUCGGGUCGGAGUCUGCAACUCGACUCCGUGAAGUUGGAUUCGCUAGUAAUCGCGCAUCAGCCAUGGCGCGGUGAAUACGUUCCCGGGCCUUGCACUCACCGCCCGUCA
rnacentral:rRNA from 1 species